rnacentral:rRNA from 1 species
AACGAACGCUGGCGGCAUGCCUAACACAUGCAAGUCGAACGAGACCUUCGGGUCUAGUGGCGCACGGGUGCGUAACGCGUGGGAACCUGCCCUUAGGUUCGGAAUAACUCCCCGAAAGGGGUGCUAAUACCGGAUAAUGUCUUCGGACCAAAGAUUUAUCGCCUUUGGAUGGGCCCGCGUUGGAUUAGCUAGUUGGUAGGGUAAAAGCCUACCAAGGCGACGAUCCAUAGCUGGUCUGAGAGGAUGAUCAGCCACACUGGGACUGAGACACGGCCCAGACUCCUACGGGAGGCAGCAGUGGGGAAUAUUGGACAAUGGGCGAGAGCCUAAUCCAGCAAUGCCGCGUGAGUGAUGAAGGCCUUAGGGUUGUAAAGCUCUUUUACCCGGGAUGAUAAUGACAGUACCGGGAGAAUAAGCUCCGGCUAACUCCGUG